GCCUGUCAAGUGUCACGGUUUAAGUUUGAGACUUAGGUUUAUUAUUAUUAUUAUUAUUAUUAUUCUUUUGUUGCUAUCUCAGCUAUGCAAAUCUUUUACACUCAAAGCAUACCAAAAAAGCUUGUUUCUCAAAACACUGGGGUGUUGCAGAGUGUCACCCUAACACAGGACGCCGUGUGCGGACGUGUUCGUACCUGCAUUUAACGUGAACUUGUCCUCUAGGACAAAUUGAGCUGUCGCAUGAACCGCACCAGAAUUAACGAAAUUACACAGCGAAGAAAGUCCAAAAACUAUACUAGUUCCGUGUUUCACUGUCCGUAUAAUAAAUAGAAGAUAACACGGGCAUAAUGUUCUUUUGCUGAAAAGUGAAAAACCUUGUAUGACUAUUUGUAAACCAAGUGAUUUCUCACUGAAAGCAUUUGUGAAGUGUAUUCAGUAAUAUUAACGGCUUUAUAUCGAAGCACUACUGUUUAAAUCUGCAAUUCUAUCAGUCGCUGAAUGUUGAUGCUUUAGUUUUUAUUUUUACUGUGGUACAUCACCUACAUUGUGCCUUUUUUGGGAGUCCGGUAGAAGAAAGAGAAAAUAAAGUGUGCGAUCCUGCAGGAUUAAACUUACCAUUAUAAUGAACUACAGCAACUACAUUUUAUAUAAUAUACUUAUAUUAACACAAUGUCAUGGCUGGAGUUUUUUGCAAGCAGUUUGGGAGCACAAGCACAUCUAUAGAAGACGGAAAGAACUGGAUGCAAUAAGGGAAAUUUUUAUUGUUUACAUUUUAUUGUUUAGACUUCAGAUGUACUUUGAAUUGUAUUAGUCUGAUUUAAGCAAUAUGAAUCUCAAUUGAUUAAGCCCGCGGCAGAAAUGUCCCUUUACAUCUCAUCCAACCAUUUCCAUGUUUGCAACCGUAAAAACCUUUCCGCCAACCAAUCAGCGUUCACACAAUGCACAGCACAGCAGGGGCCCGUUUCAGAAAGGAGGUUAAGUGAGAACUCUGAGUAUGUUAACCCUGAAAUGUGGGAAACUCUGGAUUUUCCGUUUCAGAAACGGAGGUAUCUCAAACCCGAGAAAGCAGGGUAAGUCAAGCCAGUUUCUAAAAGAGAGCUAACCUAUACUCUGAGUCAGUUACCGUGGUAACUUACUCUGUGAACCUAACCUGGUUGGGAGCAGGUUUUCUUCGUUAAACCCGGAGUUUCUUUCGGUCUCCUCCCCUUUUUUAAAGUGGAAGCGGUGUUUAAAUACCUCAUUCAUUCUUUCGGUACAUUCAUUCAAUUGCACAUAUUUCCGACUGUCUAAAAUGUGAAAAUGGCAUGUCGUUUUGUAGAGGAUCCUGUAGAUGAGGAGGCUGCAUUAAUUCGCAGCGAGUUACAUUUACGUCGGGAGAGGAUUUUGAGGCCCCGAGUGGAUUGUUUUGUCAUAUCCUCAUGAAUUUUUAUUUGAGCGGUACCGUUUUUCUAGACAGUCAAUUGAAUAUAUCCAUAAUCUCAUCCAUCCUUACAUCAGAAACAUCAGCCAUCGUGGCCGUGCUCUUACAUCCGAGCAGAUGCUUUGUGUUGCUUUACGUUUCUUUGCAAACGGUAGUUUUCUGUAUAACAUCGGGGAUGCAGAGCACAUUAGUAAGGCCACUGUAUGCAGAACAGUAAGGAAAGUGUGCCUCGCUCUCAAACGCUUUCUGCGAAUUUUUGUGGUGUUUCCUGGGCACAAACCCCUGAGAGUCAUCAAAGAGGAGUUUCACAGGAUUGCAGAUCAUAUGUGAUGCUGCACAUAUCAUCACAAAUGUGGAGGCCAAGUGGCCCGGCUCUGUUCAUGACUCACGAAUGUAUUGUGAGUCGACCCUGCGCAACAGGCUGGAAUGUGGAGAGAUUGAUGGCUUUCUGCUGGGAGAUAGGGGUUACCCAUGCCAACCAACACUAAUAACCCCUUACCCAGAACCUGAACCAGGCCCCCAGCAGCACUUCAAUGUGGCACACUGCAGGACGAGAGCCUGGGUGGAGAUGACCAUAGGCCUGUUGAAAGCACGUUUUCAGUGCCUACGUCACCUCAGGGUAACCCAUGAGAGGGCCUGCGACAUUAUUGCGGCAUGUGUUGUUCUCCAUAAUAUUGCCAUAAUUAGAGGGGAGCAACACCCUGCCCUACAAAUACAAGACCCCGAGGAAGACCCCAUCCACCCUGCAGAUUUCCAGGAUGGAAGGGUAGUCAGAGAUAUUAUAUGCUGCAAUUUCUUCUCAGAUUAAUCAACAAGCACCCACAAAAGAAACAAAAUGAAUAAAUACAAAUCACAACAAUUUAUUUGGUCUUCUUUAUUUCCUUCAAAUACAAAAGCAACUGUUAGAUUUUCAAAUUCUUCCAAUAAUUAAUACAAUUCACCUGUGACCAUACACUCACCUUUAGCUUUUCUUUCAGGAUGUCAAUUUCCAGAUCUGCCUUUUGGAUCUGGUGGUCCAAGUAUAUAAUUUCUUUGCUGUUUUUUUUCUUUUUUUUUUUUAACAAGAUGAAGUCUAUAUAACUCCUUAACUGGUAACUGAAAAUACAGUAGAUUAGAGUUAUAUUAUAUAGUUCUUCAUGAAUUGUACAGAAUUAAACUCUGGCAUUUACUGAACUGUGUUCAUCUGUGCAGCAGAAUUUGAUGGACCCUCCUCCUGCUGUUCUUCCACACUCUGCUGGGGUGGAGGAGAGAUAAUAAUGUCAGUUUAUACUUAAAUAUAAACUUUGAUUCUAUAGGCUACUCCACACAAAAAUGUGAAUAAAUGUGAAUGUGUAGAUUGUUUGAUGUGUAGACACUAUAUUAAUAUUACCUCUGUAGGCCUCUCUGUGGCAGAAGUGGUUUCAUCAUCCUCAUCUUCCUGUGAAGAUUAGCAUUUGGUUGAGUACACUUUAUAAUACUACUUGUCAUAAUUAAUGGUUUAUUUAGUAGGCUACUUACAACUGCCUGGGGUUCUGUUAUGACAGGAGGCUCCAAAAGGCAGUUAUUACCAUCAGAAUCUGUUGGGACCAACAAAAAACCCAACCCAAAGUGAAAUAAAUGCAUAUGAAAAAUAGCCUAUAUAAAAAAAAUAAAAUAUAUAGGUAGGCCUCUUACAUUUUAUGAAGGCACUUGUAUCCUGGGGAGUGACUGGCUCUGAUUAACUCCCUCCUGGAAUUCCCUCUGCCACUGGCCUUCCAGUGUUCAGGCUCAGGGCCAUCUCCUCUGCAUUUGAGAGUGGUGGUGGUGCAGGUCCUCCACCAGUUUUGCGAGCCUCUGCGUUCUUUCUGUUGGCUGAGUAGAAGUCAAAUAAGAAUGAACAUUUAAUCGUGUGAAAACAGCAUUACUCCUAUGUCAAAAAUGCUGCUGCACUGCAAGACACUAGAUGCUAUUUAGUUAUUUAAUAUGUCAAAUGUUUGUAAAGUCAGGUAGCCUACACCAAUGAUAUGCUCAAGCCUUACCUGAUUGAAUUAUGUUUUUAUAUUUCAUUUUUAGCUGCUGCCAUGUUCUUUUUAUGCCUGCAGGAUUGCAUCUACAUGAAAAUUAAAAUUAGGUUCAAAUAAUGUACUGUUCUUCCAGUUUCACUUCUGAUAUUAUUACAGCAGUGUUGGGUAAGUUACUCUAAAAAAAGUAGAUUAAUGUGAUAAUUACUCUCCCUUAAAAGUAUUGGAUUAUUUAUUACUAAUUGCUUUAUAAAUCGCAUAUCAACCUCAACCACAAUACAAGGACAGACACAAAACUGCACUUUUAAUUCAUAAAAAAAAUUCUGUAUUUAAUGUAAUUGCAUCACAAGUUAAUUUUUUGGGUGCUGUUGCCAUGGAGACUCAUAAUAUCUGCACUCUAUUGAUCAUGGCUUUUUAUAGUCGUGGUGCACGCGCUUAACGCAGAGUCAACCUAUUUAGAGUUGAUUGAACUAACUCAUUUCAGCUGUUCUGUAACCGAAAACUCAGAGUUUCCCAUCUCAGAGUAAGUCAACUCAGAGUUCAAGUUUAAACUCAGAGUUGGUUGAACCUCCUUAUUGAAACGGGCCCCAGGUACACACACCGUGUAGUUAGCUUGUGGGAGGACUGUGCACUGUGCCUCUGCGUGCCACAUUUGCACGUGACUCCCUCUCUGCGUCACAACACAAAUAUGUGUAAACACAGAAGUAUAAACCAGGCUUAAAUGGUCUAUAUGCACGGUCAUUUGCGUGUUUUUUCUCAGGGAGCCCAUUUCCAUCCGGUGCUGCGCCGGAAGCCAUUGAUCUUUACCUAGAGCUGUCAAAAUGACUGAAAAGAAAAUGAGCUGCUUAGAAGAACUUGUACUGUAAAUGAAGUUCAUCGCACUGUGAGGCUGUCAGCUGUCACACCAUCCAAUAAAAUGCAGAAUGGCUUUAAACUAUACGUUUCAAGUUACAUCGACAACUUUGAGAGUGAGUAUUAUAAUGUUAACGUCUACUCACAUUAAUGGAAAGAAUUUUUAAAAAUCUCAGUUGAUCCAUCGGUCUUUACCAAUUAACUUUACUAUUAAUCUAGACCAUUUGGGUGGCUGUGGAAUGAGCAGGGGUUAUUGGAAAUUCACCUGUAACCUACUUGAAGAUGAUCUUUUUCAGAAAGAGGCCAAAAACAUUAUUAGGACAUUCUAGAGUAAAGCCCACUUAGAAAAAGCCUGUGGGAGAUACUGGGAGUUAAUGAAAGACGAGUUGAAAUUAAUAGCUGUGAAAAGGGGUAAGGAAAUUGCUAAAAGUAAAAAAAAAAAAAAAUUUAAAUGUAGAGAGAAUCAUCAGUGAAAUUAUCCAACUAUCUUCUGCAGAUACUAACCUAGAAUCUAAGAAGUUACAUAUAAGCUACUACAAUUAGCCUUGGAAAAACUGUGUGAAGAGAAAGCAAAGGGAGCCUUUGUGAUGUCAAGAAGGAGACAGUUUUAUAGUUUUACUUUUAUAAAAUAUAAAGAUCUAAAUUUGUGGCUAAAUUUUAUCAGAACCUUUAUACCAGUCAUUGAUAACUUCUUAGAAGCAGUUAAAGCAUAUGCUACAAUCAUAGUUAAGGUAUCCCAGAAUUUAUGUGAUGCAGAAAUAACAUUAAAUGACAUCAAAUUAGGUAUUGCAGAAUUAAAAGAGAGCAAAUCCCCUGGCAAUGAUGGAUGGACGAGUGAAUUCUACAAAGCUUUUCAAGAUGAUAUCUCUGAAUUUUUACUUUUUGUGUUCAAGGAAGCAAUUGAAACUGGCUCCCUUCUUACCACAAUGACACAGGGUCUAAUAACUAUAAUUCCAAAACAGAAAAAAGAUCCAUUAUCAUUAGAUAAUUGGAGACUAAUAACCUUAAUUAAUGACGAUGCGAAAAAUGUUAGCUUUAGUAUUUGCUGAAAGACCACAUAGUUUAAGAGUAGGGGGACACAACAAAAGAUAGCUGUAACCUGAAGCUUGAAUUGAUUGCUUACAUUUUAUGUAGAAGUUUUCCCAGGAUCCAUAACACAGACAUAGUAAAGCUGUUCAGUAAAAAAGCAAGAAAGUGUACAAGUGUACAGGACUUUACCUGCACUACAGCCCCUUUAGUUACCACAAUCCUGAUGUCUGCUGAGGAUUCACUGGUGGAUUCUGCCUCUGGCAAAGUUCAGGCUGGGCGUGUGCUGUCAUAACAACCUGCAACAUUACUCUUCAUCAACAUGCCCCUCCACUGCCACCUCUGCCAGCUGAUUGUUACACGCUUGACCCAUCUGUGUGCUUGUUUGUCCACACCCAUCAAGAGCUGCUGCACGAGGUCACUGGCAGUAACUCUGGAAACAGCUCACAAGAUCGAGCAUGCCACCAUAGAACAUAGUGCUUCGCAUGACUGGCACUCUAUCCCAAAGCCACAAGUAACAUCGUCGUGUUUCAAGGAGGUUUGCCAUGGGCGGGGCAGAGCUCUGCUGAACACCUGGCUGAAAGGAUCUGCAGAGGAACUCGCCAGACAGCAGAUAUGAAGAGAGGCCUUGAAAUGGAAUCUGCAGCUGUUCAGGAAUAUUGUCUGUUGUGAGAGGUGAACUUCUACCCAUCUCGAUUCUUAAUUCACCCAGAUGCACCUUGGCUUGGGGCAUCUCCUGAUGGCAUCGUUUAUGACCCUACAAUGCACCCAGUUUUUGGUCUUUUGGAGGUAAUGUGCCCAAAUGUGAAUAGUUAUGUAGACUGCCUUCACCUUAAGUUUCAGAAUGACACAUGUUCAUGUUCAAGGUCAAUCUCAGGAUUGGACUGUUGUGAUUUUACAAAGACAGCAGAAUGUUUCAAAUGAUCUGAGAGAAGGCCUGUGUUCACAUGUGGGGGGAGAUUUUUGUUACUGUUAGUCCGGCGCAUAGUGUUAGUUUUUUAGGUUUUAGCCUAGCUCCCUGUGUCCUAGUUCCUGGUUUGUUUCUUUUUUGUUUCCUGUGUUUUUAUUAAGGAAGUUCUGCUAGAUCACUAGAUAACAUUACAGUAACAGAUGUUAUCAGACAGUUGCCUAUGGUUAUAUCAAAUCUAGAUAAAAUAGCUAGCUUGUAAAAUUUACAACAUUGCUCCGAAUAAUGUAAGUGUAUUUAUACAUAUAUGAUGUACAUUUUAUUGGUUAAAGUUAUUUAAUUUCACCAAAACUACAAACUUACAAAAUGACUGUGAACAAUUAUUAAGCUUACAGGUUAGAAAUAAAGUCUCAGUUACCCUGAACACUUGUAUUAUUACCUCAUCAGCUUUUUGAGUGAAUGAAUGAUGACUGUUCAAUUAGGUCUGUUGAAACCUGCUGACUGACAUCAGCGCCACCUGCCGGUCGGAACAGGCACUGUUUAACAGCUGGCUAAUUAAAUACCCAACACAGGGCUUAAGAGCUGCAGUAAGCGGUAAUGUCCAAAAGCCAGCGCCAUCUGCUUUUCAUCACGGACAGAGAGGAUUUCUAGUACUGGGAGAACAAAUUAAAAGUCAUAAAACCUGUUUUAUUUGUGAACUGAAACGUGUUCAAUCUUCAAACAGAUCAGGGGCUUAAGCCCCCGAAGCUCCCCCUCACAAUGCCACUGCAUUGAACAAUGUAUUCAAUAAAGACAUUUUUAUUUAACUGUCUCUAUGUGUUCAGUUAUUGUGCAUUACCAACAGUAACUAUCUUGCACAUGUUAUGUGGCUUCAGUCUUUGAAUCUUGAUGCCAUUUUUAUAACUCUUGCAGAUCUAGUGGUUACAGCCGGUGGUAUUUGACUCUGAGCUGCAUCUGCUAUGCGCAUUUCUUUGCCUGGCAUACAGUAUGUGACUUUAAGACUAUAUUUCUGAAGUCUGAGCAUCAUCUUUUGUAGUCUAGAUAGUUUUUUGGAGUGACUUCUUGAAGAUACUCUCAAGUGGUUUGUGAUCACUUUCUACUUGAAUUUCUCACAUCUGUAGACAAUGGCAAGUAGCUCUGUGGAAGUGGGGGCGUGGUCAAACACCGGGUUUGUGAAUGGAGGGCGGAGCUGGAGAAGGUGAGUGGUAAGGAAUGCACACCUGAGGGGAAUUCUACUAAUGAGUGUUCUGUGCUGUAGUGAGCUGUGGCGAGGAGAGAGACGAGGCCCUCGUGAGAGAGAUGCAUGGUGGUUUAGUGGUUAGCCUGUUUGCCUUGUACCUAAAGGGUUGGGGGUUCAGUGCCUGUCUUUGACAUUUGUUAUAAGCUCUUUUUUUGAUCUGAGUUGUCAAUCUGUGAGUGCUCGUGAUCUGUAUGCUACUGGUCUUUAAUCUUACAGUAAGACUGCUCCUAUGGCUUCAGAGCUAGCAUCCACAGACAGAGUUAGAGGUUUGCUGACAUCAUAGCACAUUAGUGUUAGUGCAUUUGUUGCCAAUGUUUUCAGCUUUCGAAUGCUUUUUUUCUUGUUCACUUCUCCAGUUCCAUUCAAUGUCAUUUUCAAGCAACUUUCUUAGUGGCAUACUUACUUAUGACAGAUUGCGAAUGAACUUGGCAAGAUACUGUAACAUAACCAGGAACUUCUGUAGAGCUUGCUUGUCUUCUGGUGGUGGUAACUGGAUUACAGGUAUCACUUUCUCAUCAUUUGGUUUGAGUCCAUCGGCUAUAAGUACAUGACCAAUGUACUUGAUCUGUGAUGUUCUAAUUUGACAUUCCUUUUUACUCAGUUUAAGGUUGUACUGUCUUGCUCUUUUAGGAGUUUUUCAGUCUGUGAUCAUGUUCUUGUAUGGUUUCUCCCCACACCAACAGAUCAUCUUCAAUGUUGAUCACCAUCCAGAUCUUCAAUCUGUGCUACAGCUUUUUAAAAUACCUCUGAUGCUGAUGAUAUUCCACAAAGUAGAUGUAGGAAUCUAUCUUCCUAUGGGUGUGUUAAAUGUGCACAGCUUGGAGCUCUCAUAAUCCAAUUUAAUCUGACACAACCCUUGACUGUCAUCUAUCUCAGAGAAGAUUUUAGUGUUUGGCAUGUUUGACAAGAUGACUUCUAUUGUGAGCAGUGGGAAGUGUUCUUGUUUGAUUGCCUUAUUUAAGUCCUGUGGGUCAAGAAUGCUUGACUAUCAUUACCUUGCUACUAACCCAAUCUGUUGGCUCUGUUUGUCUGGCAGUUACACCCAUCGUUUCCAUUCUGUGAAAUUCAUUAAUUUUCCUGUCUUUAAGGGCAACUGGAACUUUUCGUUUAGCAUGAACAACUGGUGGAAUUGUUGGAUCCACUUGUAUGUCCUGGCAUACAUCCUAGACCACAGAACAAAUCUUUAUAUUCCUUCAGUAUGUCAUUGUACACUUCAUGUACUCUUUUUGUUAUGCCUCAUGUUUGACAUGUAGUAUUGCAGGUGCAUCUCUUUCGAUGAUCUGAAACUCGGUUCUGUUUUUCUGUCCUUUGUAUUCACGUCAGCAGUUUCUGGCCCACAUCUGGUGGCCAGAGUAGGUAAGCAACUUGCAGGUGAAUUUGUUUAGUUUUUUUCAUUAUGGGAAGGGAGUUGAAGAUCUUUAAUGAUAGAAAAGUAAUCUCUCACAACGUUGGUGGAUUUGCCUCCGAAGGAGCUGAUAGACUUCAGUCUCUGCCACAUGCAUCGGGAGUCAUUAGGCUGGAAAUGAGACUCCACCCACUCCCUUCACCGGAGUUAUUGGCUCUUAUUGGCAUCCGAGAGCAUAGCACAAAGCUUUGUACUCGCUCACAUUCCCCGAUAUGAGCCCUGCAUUGUAUGCACUAUAAGGACUUUCUCCAAGCAGAGGCGAAUGCACACAAGGUGUGUGUUGUUAGCAUCCUAAUUGAGGAAGCAAAGUUAACUACUACAUCCGCAAACUCGUGAACGUCAGCGGAACUCUACAGGAAUAUGUCCCAGUCAAUGUCAUCAAGCGCAGCUUCUGACUGGGCAGACCAGCCCUCCUCUCCAGAGCUUCCUGUACAAGUCUUUGUUUAUAUUCCAGCAUGAGGAAAAUUAGAUUAGAUUAGCCUUUUUUGUCUCCGGUAGGAGAAAUUUGUCCUGGGCAAUUGAGAGAACACAGCUGACAUUACGAUACACAUGUACAAUCAAAAUACAUUGACAUGCGUUUGCACCCAGAUCUGUAUAAACAGUAAAACAUACACACCAUACAAUAACCAAACAUACACAUAACAUACACAAAUGCCAUACAUCAGUUGUUGCACAAAACCCUACACCAAGACAACUCUUUGUGAAGGAUGUGGUUUGGAUCACAAAUGAUUUUAAGGCUCUGCGUCCUUACAGUCUCCUCAAAGAUCUUCUCAAGAGAAGGUGAGGUCAGCAUGCCAAUUAUUUUUCCAGCCCUUCUAAUCAGGUUUUGGAGUUGUAUUGAUCUAUUGUUGUAAUACCAUAACGGUUAAUGGAUUCAAUGGCUGCCCUGUAAAACAAUAAUAUAGUGCUUUUAUCCACUCCAUGGACCCUAAGCAUUUGAAAAAAAAUGCAAAUGCUGAUUAACUCGUGAGCAGAUAUACUCCACUUGAUGAACCCAUUGUAACUGAAAAUCAAAAUGAAUCCCUAAAUACUUAUGUUGUUUCCUGCUCAACUCUCUCCCCAUAGAUUAAAACUGGGCUGUGGUCACCAACAGACCUGGGAUCUAAAUCCAUUUCUUUAAUUUUUUUUUUUUUGUGCUCCUCACACACCUGCACAACCUCUUCUAUC